rnacentral:rRNA from 1 species
GACGAACGCUGGCGGCGUGCUUAACACAUGCAAGUCGAACGAAGAGCGAUGGAAGCUUGCUUCUAUCAAUCUUAGUGGCGAACGGGUGAGUAACGCGUAAUCAACCUGCCCUUCAGAGGGGGACAACAGUUGGAAACGACUGCUAAUACCGCAUACGAUCUAAUCUCGGCAUCGAGGAUAGAUGAAAGGUGGCCUCUACAUGUAAGCUAUCACUGAAGGAGGGGAUUGCGUCUGAUUAGCUAGUUGGAGGGGUAACGGCCCACCAAGGCGAUGAUCAGUAGCCGGUCUGAGAGGAUGGACGGCCACAUUGGGACUGAGACACGGCCCAGACUCCUACGGGAGGCAGCAGUGGGGAAUCUUCCGCAAUGGACGAAAGUCUGACGGAGCAACGCCGCGUGAGUGAUGACGGCCUUCGGGUUGUAAAGCUCUGUUAAUCGGGACGAAAGGCCUUCUUGCGAAUAGUGAGAAGGAUUGACGGUACCGGAAUAGAAAGCCACGGCUAACUACGUG